AUAUUAUUAAGCGGAGGAAAAGAAACUAACAAGGAUUCCCUCAGUAACGGCGAGUGAAGUGGGAAUAGCUCAAAAUGUUAAUCGGGUGCCGUUAGGCAUUCGAGUUGUAAUCUAAAGACGUGUGGUCAGCGUGUGACUCGGGUAUAACUCUUUUGGAAUAAGGGAUCAUAGAGGGUGAGAAUCCCGUUUAUGACCCGAUGUUCGCCGCGUACGAUACACGUUCAAAGAGUCGAGUUGUUUGGGAUUGCAGCUCUAAAUGGGUGGUAAACUUCAUCUAAAGCUAAAUAUUGGCGGGAGACCGAUAGCGCACAAGUA
rnacentral:rRNA from 1 species